UUAAAAUCACGGUUUAGCUCAUCUAGCCGAUAUUAUAAACAUCACACCGAAGGCUUCAUUGCGCGAGCGCGAAAUUUAAUCGCUUAGCUUACCGUCGUGAUUGGCACGCAUUUUAAACCACUAGUCUUGUAAGUCUCUUUCUAUGCCACUCGUCAUAUCAUAGUGAGAUAGUGAGUAGUCUGUGCCACUAGUAGUGAACUAGUAGUUGAUAAUCUGUCGUGUCUUAUCGCAGGAUUAAGAUUAUCUUAUCGCGACGCCGCUGACGAACCAUGCAUUUUAUGCAUUCGAUGCGCUAAGUUUAAUAUAUUCUAAAUGUAACAGAGGAAAAAUAGUCAAGUUGGAGAUAAUGUAUUAAACGAUAAUCUUGUAAAUAUUUGCCAUGUUGAGUUCACCGUUUGCAUAGACCCACUUUCCAGUGUUUAAAACUUUUCGAUGUGUGCGAUUCUGAACAUUUUAAUGACGUUGCAAGAGGUUUAAAACCACUGACCGGUCAGGAUAAAAAUCACAUUGAUUAUUUCUUCACAUACAACUAUUAUCAUCAAACUUGAAAUGUGAUAACACAAUUUCGAAGCUCAAAGUGCAUAAAGUGGAGACCUAACCUUAACAGUUUGCAAGUAUUGUGAAAAGUGGGGCUUUUUAGUUCGAAUGUGCCAUUGAAUCCUGAUGUUUAGUCAACGAUUAUUUCUUCAGGAUUUAAUUCCAGAAUAUUUUCUUUUUCACCGAAACUGUUUUGGAUAGUCACGUGUCUCAAUCAAUUUGGAGAUAACCACGCAAUGCUCAGUCCCUUGAUACAAUGAAUACAAGGUAGGAUCUUGCGUCGAUUUGCGUGACGUCAGUGGAAAUCACUGCCUAGCGUGCUCUUUUCCUGUCUGCUAAAUGUGAUUAAAUAUAGCUUAUUUAGUCUUUGUCACA